CGGACGGGUGAGUAACACGUGGGUAACCUGCCCUGUACAGGGGGAUAACAGUUAGAAAUGACUGUUAAUACCGCAUAAGCGCACAGUACUGCAUGGUACAGUGUGAAAAGCUCCGACGGUACAGGAUGGGCCCGCGUCUGAUUAGCCAGUUGGCGGGGUAACGGCCCACCAAAGCGACGAUCAGUAGCCGGACUGAGAGGUUGGACGGCCACAUUGGGACUGAGAUACGGCCCAGACUCCUACGGGAGGCAGCAGUGGGGAAUAUUGCACAAUGGGGGAAACCCUUGAUGCAGCGACGCCGCGUGAGUGAAGAAGUAUUUCGGUAUGUAAAGCUCUAUCAGCAGGGAAGAAGUCAGACGGUACCUGAGUAAGAAGCCCCGGCUAACUACGUGCCAGCAGCCGCGGUAAUACGUAGGGGGCAAGCGUUAUCCGGAUUUACUGGGUGUAAAGGGAGCGUAGACGGCAAGGCAAGUCUGGAGUGAAAGCCCGCUGCUCAACGGCGGGACUGCUUUGGAAACUGUUUGGCUGGAGUGCCGGAGAGGUAAGCGGAAUUCCUGGUGUAGCGGUGAAAUGCGUAGAUAUCAGGAAGAACACCAGUGGCGAAGGCGGCUUACUGGACGGUAACUGACGUUGAGGCUCGAAAGCGUGGGGAGCAAACAGGAUUAGAUACCCUGGUAGUCCACGCGGUAAACGAUGAUUGCUAGGUGUAGGUGGGUAUGGACCCAUCGGUGCCGCAGCCAACGCAGUAAGCAAUCCACCUGGGGAGUACGUUCGCAAGAAUGAAACUCAAAGGAAUUGACGGGGGCCCGCACAAGCAGUGGAGUAUGUGGUUUAAUUCGGAGCAACGCGAAGGACCUUACCAGGGCUUGACAUAAACAGGAAUAACUAAGAGAUUAGUUAGCUCUUCGGAGCUUGUUUACAGGUGGUGCAUGGUUGUCGUCAGCUCGUGUCGUGAGAUGUUGGGUUAAGUCCCGCAACGAGCGCAACCCCUAUUUUCAGUAGCCAGCGGAUAAAGCCGGGCACUCUGGGAAGACUGCCGGGGAUAACCCGGAGGAAGGUGGGGAUGACGUCAAAUCAUCAUGCCCCUUAUGAUCUGGGCGACACACGUGCUACAAUGGCGUAAACAGAGGGAAGCGAGGCCGAGAGGCGGAGCGAAUCCGAGAAAUAACGUCCAGUUCGGAUUGUAGUCUGCAACCCGACUACAUGAAGCUGGAAUCGCUAGUAAUCGCGGAUCAGAAUGCCGCGGUGAAUACGUUCCCGGGUCUUGUACACACCGCCCGUCACACCAUGGGAGUCAGAAAUGCCCGAAGUCUGUGACCGAACCGAGAGGGAGGAGCAGCCGAAGGCAGGUCUGGUGACUGGGGUGAAGUCGUAACAAGGUAG
rnacentral:rRNA from 1 species